UGCGUAUCUUGAAUGUCAAAACGACUCUCGGCAACGGAUAUCUCGGCUCUCGCAUCGAUGAAGAACGUAGCGAAAUGCGAUACUUGGUGUGAAUUGCAGAAUCCCGUGAACCAUCGAGUCUUUGAACGCAAGUUGCGCCCGAAGCCUUCGGGCCGAGGGCACGCCUGCCUGGGCGUCAC
rnacentral:rRNA from 2 species